rnacentral:rRNA from 1 species
GAUGAACGCUAGCGGCGGGCUUAAUACAUGCAAGUCGAGGGGUAGCAAGAUUGUAGCAAUACAAUUGUUGGCGACCGGCAAACGGGUGCGGAACACGUACACAACCUUCCUACAAGUGGGGAAUAGCCCAGAGAAAUUUGGAUUAAUACCCCGUAACAUAGCGAUGUGGCAUCACAUUGCUAUUAUAGCUUCGGCGCUUGUUGAUGGGUGUGCGGCUGAUUAGAUAGUUGGCGGGGUAACGGCCCACCAAGUCUACGAUCAGUAGCUGAUGUGAGAGCAUGAUCAGCCACACGGGCACUGAGACACGGGCCCGACUCCUACGGGAGGCAGCAGUAAGGAAUAUUGGACAAUGGACGCAAGUCUGAUCCAGCCAUGCCGCGUGAAGGAUUAAGGUCCUCUGGAUUGUAAACUUCUUUUAUAAGGGACGAAAAAAGGUCUUUCUAGAUCGUCUGACGGUACCUUAUGAAUAAGCACCGGCUAACUCCGUGCCAGCCGCCGCCGUAAUAC